GGCGGGAGGCCCGAUCCUGGGCUUCGUCCCCUGCGCCCUGUGCUCCCGGGCCUGCGCAGUUGGAUUCUCGCUCCCGCCCCGCAGCCCCCU
rnacentral:pre_miRNA from 1 species